rnacentral:rRNA from 1 species
CCUACGGGGCGCAGCAGUGAGGAAUAUUGGUCAAUGGGCGGGAGCCUGAACCAGCCAAGCCGCGUGAGGGAAGAAGGUACAGCGUAUCGUAAACCUCUUUUGUCAGGGAACAAAGGCGGGGACUAGUCCCCGGAUGAGGGUACCUGAAGAAAAAGCAUCGGCUAACUCCGUGCCAGCAGCCGCGGUAAUACGGAGGAUGCGAGCGUUAUCCGGAAUGAUUGGGCGUAAAGGGUGCGCAGGCGGUCCUGCAAGGCUGGAGUGAAACGCAUGAG